GCAGAGAGUACUAAGAGAUUGGAUCAGAUGAAAGCAUCUUGCUUGAUAUUGGAUGGAGAAAGUGGAGAAAAGAAUGCCUCCCAUUCGUUUGCUGUAAUUCUGCCUGGGCUAGGCAGUAUGACCAUGUCCAUGUGUUUGUAGAAGAUU